GCCUGUCAGAGGGGGGCCGUGCCCGCGCUGGAGCGUGCUGGCGGCUGGUGACAUUUAUUUUCUAAAUGCUGGGAUUAAGUUUGGCUUCUUAAUGUCAUAAUAGCAACAGCUCCACAUCUCGCCUGCUCCUGAAGUGCAGGGUUGGUCUGUGCGUUGGGGCUGCUGGCACCUCCAUGGAAAAGGCAGAAUGAGACAGAAGCAACAGGCCUCAACCAGUCUGGGAAAUAAAUAUUCCAUUAAAAUUGGGAAAAAAAAAAAAAAACGGUGAGGAGGGGCUGCAACUGUACACAAAAUGCUCAAAGCUUGGCAACCUAGCGACGGAUAUUGGACAGAAUUCCACCUUUCUCCUCCUCCCCAGUGCCAUCUGCAGGCCUGCAGCAGGGUGUCCAUAAGCAGCACUGCACCUCAUCCAAAGACGCCAAAACCUUCAGAGAAUGAAUCAAGUACACCCUCAGCAAUUUGCUGAUGACACCAAGCUGAGUGGUGCGGUCGACACGGUGGAAGGAAGGGAUGCCAUUCAGAGGGACCUCAACAGACUUGACAGAUUCACCAGUCUUUGCCCUGCAUUGCUGAAGUUCCUCCUUGGAUUGCUGAAGAAUGUAUGGGAUUGCUUGUCUUUGCUGGGGUUCCAUGAAGUCCACGUGGGGUUUGCAAAAUUCUGCACUUAAGUGCACACUGUUUUGCACAGUUUUGCUGGUCUUCGCGGUCUGGAAGUUUUAUUUCUUUACUCAGAACCUGACAGUUUGCGGGUGAAAUCUCGAUUUCUGAUUCAUCUAGAGCUCACCAUAGUGCUGCUGCCACUUCCCCCACCUUGUCAGGGGAUGUCCCUUGAAUUAAAAUACCACCUGUACGUCGAUACAAUUUCA